UGAGGAAUAUUGGUCAAUGGGCGAGAGCCUGAACCAGCCAAAUCGCGUGAAGGAAGACUGCCUUAUGGGUUGUAAACUUCUUUUAUACAGGAAUAAAAAAGGGGACGUGUCCCUUAUUGCAUGUACUGUAUGAAUAAGCAUCGGCUAACUCCGUGCCAGCAGCCGCGGUAAUACGGAGGAUGCGAGCGUUAUCCGGAUUUAUUGGGUUUAAAGGGUGCGCAGGCGGGCUUUUAAGUCAGCGGUGAAAUCUCGGGGCUUAACCCCGAAACUGCCGUUGAAACUGGGAGUCUUGAGUAUGGAUGAAGUAGGCGGAAUUCGUUGUGUAGCGGUGACAUGCUUAGAUAUAACGAGGAACUCCGAUUGCGUAGGCAGCUUACUAAGCCAUAACUGACGCUCAAGCACGAAAGCGUGGGGAUCAAACAGGAUUAGAUACCCUGGUAGUCCACGCCGUAAACGAUGAUUACUAGUUGUAUGCGAUAUACCGUAUGUGACUAAGCGAAAGCGAUAAGUAAUCCACCUGGGGAGUACGCCGGCAACGGUGAAACUCAAAGGAAUUGACGGGGUCAUAGCUGUUUCCUG
rnacentral:rRNA from 1 species